GACGAACGCUGGCGGCACGCCUAACACAUGCAAGUCGAACGGAGAAAAUAACUUCGGUUAUUUUCUUAGUGGCGGACGGGUGAGUAACACGUGAGGAACCUGCCUCUGAGAGUGGGAUAGCUUCUGGAAACGGAUGGUAAUACCGCAUAACAUAGAGAAAUCGCAUGGUUUUGCUAUCAAAGUUUUUCGCUCAGAGAUGGCCUCGCGUCGGAUUAGAUAGUUGGUGAGGUAACGGCGCACCAAGUCGACGAUCAGUAGCCGGACUGAGAGGUUGAACGGCCACAUUGGGACUGAGACACGGCCCAGACUCCUACGGGAGGCAGCAGUGGGGGAUAUUGCACAACGGGGGAAACCCUGAUGCAGCGAUGCCGCGUGGAGGAAGAAGGUUUUCGGAUUGUAAACUCCUGUCGUAAGGGAAGAGGAAGGACUGUACCUUACAAGAAGGCUCCGGCUAACUACGUGCCAGCCGCCGCCGUAACAC
rnacentral:rRNA from 1 species